UACGUAGGUGACAAGCGUUGUCCGGAAUUAUUGGGCGUAAAGAGCUCGUAGGCGGUCUGUUGCGUCGGCGUGUCGAUAACCCGGGGCUCAACUCCGGGCCUGCAGCCGAUACGGGCAGACUAGAGUUCGGCAAGGGGAGACUGGAAUUCCUGGUGUAGCGGUGAAAUGCGACAGACUAUCGAGGAGGAACACCGGUGGCGAAGGCGGCCAUCUGGGACGGACACGAUGACGCUGGAGGCGACGAAAGCCGUGGG
rnacentral:rRNA from 1 species